AGCCUGCCUGCCUCAGUGUGCUGUAGAGCUGUCUACCAAAAUUCUAAAGGCACUGGCACAUCAGAGCUAUCUUUGUUGCAGGUGGUAACAGUUGAAUAAGAUGAGAACAAAGAAGAAACCCACACACUGCUCUUUCUUAAGCUUUAAGCAUCGCCCUCAAGGACUUCGUCUGAGCUUUUGCAGUGCGGUUAAAGUCCUGUCUCAGCCGGGGAACACAGUACAGUUUCCAUGUUACUACAGCUAUGAAGACCACCAGGACAUCCCACAGCUGUCUGUCCAGUGGAGAGGUCCAAGCAACACGCUCCUCUGUCACUACAUCAAACACAAGGCCUUCCAGAACUGCACCCAGGGCUACUCACUGGACUACAUGCCAAGGAAGAUCACUCUGAGCAUCACAGAGGUCAGAACGCAAGACUUCGGAUCUCACGUCUGUUCCGUUAGCAAGAGACACGAGUUCACGGACUUUAGCGUCGAGCUAGUCGUGAAGACAGAUCCCAUCACUUCCUUACCGACGAACAGGUGGGCUCAGUCAGGUCUUCCUGAGGGACAUCUUGUUGUCCUCGUCUGCUCUGUGUUGGUCAGCACCUGGGGAUGAAUAGCACAAAUACUGUGAAAAUAAAGAACAGAUUGAGAUUACAUUUUUUUAUAUAAAUAUUGUAAUUAGAAAUAAUAAAGAAUAUACGCUUCAUAAACGUUGUACUCUGAAACAUUAACUCUGUUCAUUAAAUAGUAGUUGUGUGUGUGUGUGUGUGUGUGUAACAGUUUCAGCUAACCAGUGUGGUGCUGUAUGCAGAGUCACAGUUCAUGACAGCUCAGAACAUUCCACACAGCCUUAGACCGCAGGCUUAGGAGCAAUGUCAGCAUGUUACUGAGUACUGACAUGAAUAGGGCCCUGGUCAAAACUAGUGCACUAUAUAGGGAAUAGGGCUCUGGUCUGUAGUAGUACCACUAUAUAGGGAAUAG
rnacentral:lncRNA from 1 species